GACGAACGCUGGCGGCGUGCUUAACACAUGCAAGUCGAACGGAAAGGCCCUGCUUGCAGGGUACUCGAGUGGCGAACGGGUGAGUAACACGUGGGUGAUCUGCCCUGCACUUCGGGAUAAGCCUGGGAAACUGGGGCUAAUACCGGAUAGGAGCCAUUUUUAGGGUUAUGGUUGGAAAGUUUUUUCGGUGUAGGAUGAGCUCGCGGCCUAUCAGCUUGUUGGUUGGGUAAUGGCCUACCAAGGCGGGGGCGGGUAGCCGGCCUGGGAGGGUGGACGGCCACCUUGGGACUUAAGGAAGGCCCAGACACCGAAGGGAGGGAGGAGGGGGGAAUAUUGCCCCAUGGGCGCAAGCCUGGUGCAGCGACGCCGCGUGGGGGAAGACGGUCUUCGGGUUGUAAACUCCUUUCGCUAGGGACGGAGCUUUUUGUGACGGUACCUAGAUAAGAAGCACCGGCUAACUACGUG
rnacentral:rRNA from 1 species